rnacentral:rRNA from 1 species
AUUGAACGCUGGCGGCAUGCUUUACACAUGCAAGUCGAACGGCAGCGCGGGCUUCGGCCUGGCGGCGAGUGGCGAACGGGUGAGUAAUGCAUCGGAACGUGCCCAGUAGUGGGGGAUAGCCCGGCGAAAGCCGGAUUAAUACCGCAUACGACCUGAGGGUGAAAGCGGGGGACCGAAAGGCCUCGCGCUAUUGGAGCGGCCGAUGUCGGAUUAGCUAGUUGGUGGGGUAAAGGCUUACCAAGGCGACGAUCCGUAGCUGGUCUGAGAGGACGAGCAGCCACACUGGGACUGAGACACGGCCCAGACUCCUACGGGAGGCAGCAGUGGGGAAUUUUGGACAAUGGGGGCAACCCUGAUCCAGCCAUGCCGCGUGCGGGAAGAAGGCCUUCGGGUUGUAAACCGCUUUUGUUCGGGAAGAAAUCCUCUGGGCUAAUACCCCGGGGGGAUGACGGUACCGGAAGAAUAAGCACCGGCUAACUACGUG